ensembl:misc_RNA Metazoa_SRP Metazoan signal recognition particle RNA
GCCGGGCGUGGUGGCGGGCGCCUGUAAUCCCAGCUACUUGAGAGGCUGAGGCAGGAGAAUCGCUUGAACCCAGGAGGCGGAGGUUGCAGUGAGCCGAGAUCGCGGCUCUGCACUCCAGCCUGGGUGACAGAGUGAGACUCUGUCUCAG